AUUUGAUUUCGAGUUAAUAAUUAAAUGAAUUAUCGAUUAACGAUAAAUGAAAUUUAUAAUGAAUGAAUCGAUAUAAUAUUUGGAGGAAAUGUGGAUUUUUAUUUUCGAGAACGUUCUAAACCGCGAUAGUGGCAAAGGUUCGAGAUGAUGAAGAGAAUACGAAGGAGGUAGAAAAUAAAAAGGUGAAAAAGAAAAUCGGAUAGUGAGGCGAGAGGAGGUAUCGGAAGGAGAGCUACAGUGCCUACAUAGCAAAAAAGGAAUGACGCCGGUAUUUUUAAUGGGAAGCCGAAGGCGAGUUGAAUAGAACGAGCUUUUGGGUCCCUCGCGAGGACGUCGUACGCCUCUACAAGGGUUCAAAGCGAGAGCCAAGUUUUAACAAGCCUCAGGCUUCGUGCCCCUGGCCCCUGGAUGUCUCCUUUAAAUAAUCCACCGGACGAUCCAUUCGUACGAAGGAUCGUUCAAACACCAUUGAAAAAUUCUUUCGAUGUCCGUCUCAAUUAUCAAGAUAAAAUUUCUUUGGUAAAACUUAUGCGGACGUUUAUCCAAAAAAUUCUAUCACCGUCCUUUAAGAAAAAUUCCAGAAUUACAGACAAAGUCCUUGCAUAGAUAUCUCGUUCUUUCUCGUAACGUCCUCCAUUCGUGUCUCUCGCCUCUUUAUAAAGAAAGAGAGGAGGUCGUUCUUUUUACUUGGGGGAAUCGUGAAAGUCAAGAGAAGAUUCGAGUGUAUAGGAUAUAGUGAGGAACGAGGGAACACGAUUUAUUAGAGAAAGACAAGGAAAAGAGGAAUAAAACGAAAGGAGGGAAGAAAAAGAGGAUGGACCGCACAAAGAAAAAAACGCAGGCGGGAGGCCGAGGUGUACAUGGGGAA